rfam:Glycine soja cultivar W05 scaffold975_98, whole genome shotgun sequence.
AGCUGUGUGAUAGAAACAAAGCGAACUAUUCUUUCGCCUUUUACUAAAGAAUACCGUGUUUCUGUCACCUAAAGCAGCAUACGCUUAUUUUUGAAAGGGUCUUUCUAAUAGGAAGAU